GGGGCCCUGGGGCCUGGUGGAUGAGUGGCUGAACAUGUGUCAGCAGUGAAGCUGCUGCAGUAAUGAAGGUAAAUGAAGGUAAAGGAAGAUAAAUGAAGGUAAAUGAAGAUAAGUGGGAUCCUGGGCUGCAUCCACAGGGAUAAAAAUUUACUUGUUAGGUCUGGAGUACAGUGUCCAGCUCUUGUCCCCACAAUUCACAAAGACGCGGACAGACUGGAGAACAUCCAAAGGCAGGCCAUGAGGGUGAUCAGAGGGCUGGAGAGCCUCCUCUGUGAGGAAAGAACUGAUGGAGUUUAGUCUUUUAACUUUGAGAAGAGCUGGCUCAGGGAUGACAUCAUCACAGUAUUCCAGUACUUAAAAGGGCACCUAGAAAAAGGGUGAAGGCUCUGGGCUCACAGAGAGUCACAGUGAGAGAACAAGGGGCAGCAAGGACAAGUUGCACAAAGAGAGGUUUAAUCUCAACAUAGGAAGUGAACAUUUUACAGUGAGGACAGUGAAUCCCUGGAGAACCUCUCCAGGAAUGUGGCUGAGUUCCUUUCAUUGGGGGUUUUCAAGAUGAGGUUGUAUGGUGUGCUAGAUGAUCUCAGCUCCCUUUGAUUGGAUCAGGUGAUCUUUCAAGGUCUCUUCCUACCUGGGCUAUUUUAUUAUUGUUUCAUAUGGCUUUGCCUCAAUCCCUCACAGGGGUGAUUUACAAUGGAAUUCUGACCUACUGUUGUUGAAUAUAAGUGUACCUAGCAUGCACAUCUCAGCAAAUGAUAAACAGUAAGAUACCGCACCUGGACCUUAAAAGAAAAUCUUGUAGCCAUAGGACAGACAAGUUAAACUCUCAGUGGAGUGAUAUGAAAAGAAUGUUAAGUGUGAAGAAAUGUGCAGUUUGUGAAUGGUGCAGACAUUAACUGACUGCAGUGAGCAAGUGCUGGUGUCCUCAUCCACUCAGCUACAGAAACAGUCAUUUAGCACUAAUUGCAGUUUUUCUCCUUGGCAAACAGUCUUUAACAGAGUCUUUAACAAUAAAUAUCAUCAUCAUGCAAUACCAUCCCAAAAUGAGUCUACAAUUUGCCAUACAACUGAGAAAGAAUGGCAGAAAUCCUAGAUGAGAGAGGGGAUAAAAGCUAAGCACGAAGAUUGCACAGGAGAUGUGGAAGAGAUGCUGUGGGGUACCCAAGCUCUAUCCUGUUCACAUCAGAGCAGAAAUGUUAGACAACCAAGCAGGGCACUAAGCAGUUCUGUUUGGAAAUGUUCUAGUACUCAAAGCAGAGAGGUGACACUCAUGGCAGAGGAAUUGUUUCUGGGGUUUGUGACUACAGGUGUUUUUACGUGAAGAUCAGAGGAGAAGAACAUCCCUAAGAAGCAGCUCCUCAUCGCCUGAUUGCUCAUUCUGCAAUAGCCCUCACUAACAGGAUCUCCUCUCCUGUUUGUGAAAGGAGGGAGGUACACAACCAUAAAGAAAAAAAACCCACCACUUUCAUCUCAGAACUGAAACUCCUCAUGGCAAAAUCAGAGUGGCUCCAAAUUAGUUCAGACCCUAGGGGAUUCUGGCUGAGAGACAAGUUCUACGUCGGGGAGAAAUGAAUAUGCACAAAACUGCUGACCAUGUAAGGUACAAGCUGGCAUCUCUGGAAGCAAAUUUGCAAGGAUCUGUUGGCUUGCAGGCAGAUACUGCCUCUGCUGCUGCUCAUUCUUUUGCCGUGCAGUGGGAGAUGAUGGAAAGAACUCUCUGAGCCCAGAAAGGUCUAAGGGAAUCACAUCACUCUCAUUCUACUGCACAAAAAAGAUCAUUACAAGGGAUCCAAAUGUCAGCCAGGGAUCUGCAACAACUUCAACACUCUUAACCCUCUUGAAAGGACUAUGAAAUCGAGGGUGCCAGAGGCAGGGGAGAUGAUUGCACAGAGAAUGUGCUUUGCAAAGAUUUUGGCAGUGAGACAUGUGGGAAGAAGCAAGGAAGAGGAAAGACAGAACGUUCCUGUCCUCCAGCCAUUACAGAAAGGAGAGUGUCAAAUUGAUUAGACAUGAUGUACAAGUGGCAUCUUUGUUUUACAUUUUCUUAGAGCCAGGUCCACAAAUAUCACCCAGGUGGAUUCAUACUUUGCUUACCCUUUCCAGAGACUGCUUUCACAGAUGUCAGCCAUCCUGGACAUUUUCCUUUGUAAUGCUCUGGGUUAGUAGCUAUCAGAGUCAGAAAAUUAACUGGAGUCCAUUAAUUUUGCUGGUCUGUCUAUGGCUGUUAAUUUCCAUCUUCUAGGAAGCAAAUGCCUUGUUACUUUAUCAAACUGUUAUGGCUCCAGACAGCUUCAAUGCAUAUACAACAUAUAUCCAAUAAAUGAGCCAGAUAACAUGCACAAAGAAGGAAGUCUAAUCUACUAAACCAGCUGACAAAACAGGUGUUGAAAAAUUUCAUGCCUCAAAUUAACUGGUCUAUGUUUAUUAAUUAAUAUGAAAUAUGAUUUGCAAUAACAUAGAAUGUAGAAUAUUUUUCUGUUUUGCUUCUUAAUUAGUACAAUAAAAUGUUAACUAUGAAAGAAAUUUAUGUCACAGCCUUAUUACACUGGAAUUUUCCACUGCUGUGUUGAACACCGAGAAAGAAAAAGCUAUGUUGUAAUUCUGCAAUGAUCUGCAUCCUGAAUAAUUCAAAAGGGAAGUUCACUGUAUGCCUGCAACUCUGAUUACAGUGAAAGACAGUGGCACUAGACUGCCCACUGAUUAAAAGCAUCUCCAGUAUCUUAUUUAUAAUUAGGGACCUGAAAAGAACAGUGCAGGAAAAUGUGUAAGUGUUCCUCAAAUAUCAUAGAAAAUGCUGAGGCUGUGGAGUGAUAAAUGACCUGACCUGUAAUUCAAUCUUAGCUUUCUAAUGAUCUCAUUGAUCAGUCACAUCUCACAGCUGUGAUGCAUGAUAUUAUCUGAACCCUCUCCUAUUGAGUUAUGGCUUUGUUAUAAAUCCCACAUUACCCAUUAUCUUUACAUUGAAUGUACUCUACCUUAUUACAGUAGCACUCAACUGCCCUGACAGACUUGAGGGGCUAUUGGUUUUCCUAUCAGGAAUUCUGGUUCUCAGAGGAUUACAGAUCAGCUAGGAGAAUAAACUCUGAGCUGAGCAUCUCUGCCUGACCUUAGGAAGGGGAGGAUCAGAUUGUGAUUUGGGUGAUAGCCUUGGCAUGGCAAAGAGCUUGUGCAAUUCCUCACUCACACAGGCCACACACACAACCUUGCCCAAGUCAUUUGAGCAGCUGAAGUGCUCGAGGGUGUGGUUUUAUCACUUGGCAGGUUGGAGAGCAGAGGGGUCUGAACCUGUUCGUGGAUGGUGAGCAACAUCCAGGCAGGGCUGAGAGAACCCUCUGAUGGAGAAGGGGCCUGGCUGAGGCUGCAGGAGCAGCUUCCUUGUGCCUGACUGUAGGAAUGUGCCCCUUGUUGACAGAGUGACAAAACUAUCCUUUGUCCCCCUAACAAGGAAAUAAGCCCAGAAGUUUCUCCCAUUGAUUAGGUGAAGAGCCACCUCUUAGGACCUGGGGGACUUCACCUCAAACUUAAGGAUAGCUAAUUGGACAGGAGUCAAAAAGUUCCAC